AGACUGAGUUCAGUUCCCAGCGUGAGACGGGGCGACUGUGAGGUUUACCACACCUGGUUACAGCUGCCAGUUAAUCGGGCAGACUGAGUUCAGUUCCCAGUGUGAGACGGGGCGGCUGUGAGGUUUACCACACCUGGUUACAGCUGCCAGUUAAUCGGGCAGACUGAGUUCAGUUCCCAGUGUGAGACGGGGCGGCUGUGAGGUUUACCACAGCUGGUUACAGCUGCCAGUUAAUCGGACAGACCGAGUUCAGUUCCCAGUGUGAGACGGGGCGG